AUGAACGCUUUGAGCUGGAACUGUCGAGGGCUUGGGAACCCUGGGACAGUUCGCGAGCUUCGCAAGUUAGUGAAGCAAGAAGGCCCCGCCCUGCUUUUCGUCAUGGAGACAAAGAUCAGGGGGGAACGUGUGGAGGAUUUGAAGUUUACUUUAGGUUUUUCUGGUUGCUUUGCCGUUGACAGUGACGGUUUAAGUGGAGGUAUCGGUUUGUUUUGGUCAAAAGAUGUUGAAGUUACUUUG
rnacentral:rRNA from 1 species